GGUUGUAAACUGCUUGUAUAAGGGAAAAAAGUGAACCUCGUGAGGCUUUUUUAUUGUUUUUUAGGAAUAAGGACCGGUUAAUUCUUUUCUAGCAGCCGCGGUAAUACGGAAGGUCCGGGCGUUAUCCGGAUUUAUUGGGUUUAAAGGGAGCGUAGGCCGGAGAUUAAGCGUGUUGUGAAAUGUAGACGCUCAACGUCUGAACUGCAGCGCGAACUGGGUUUCCUUGAGUACGCACAAAGUGGGCGGAAUUCGUGGUGUAGUCGGUGAAAUGCUUAGAUAUCAUGAAGAACUCCGAUUGCGAAGGCAGCUCACUGGAGCGCAACUGACGCUGAAGCUCGAAAGUGCGGGUAUCGAACAGGAUUAGAUACCCUGGUAGUCCGCACGGUAAACGAUGGAUGCCCCGCUGUUGGUCUGAAUAGGUCAGCGGCCAAGCGAAAGCAUUAAGCAUCCCACCUGGGGAGUACGCCGGCAACGGUGAAACUCAAAGGAA
rnacentral:rRNA from 1 species